UACGUAGGUGGCAAGCGUUGUCCGGAUUUACUGGGCGUAAAGGGCGUGCAGGCGGUCUGUUAAGUCUAGGGUGAAAGCUCCCGGCUCAACUGGGAGAGGUCCUUGGAUACUGGCGGACUUGAGGGAGGCAGAGGAAAGUGGAAUUCCCGGUGUAGUGGUGAUAUGCGUAGAUAUCGGGAGGAACACCUGUGGCGAAAGCGGCUCACUGGACCAUAACUGACGCUGAUGCACGAAAGCUAGGGGAGCAAACAGG
rnacentral:rRNA from 1 species